rnacentral:misc_RNA from 1 species
GAUGAAGAACGUAGCGAAACGCGAUAAGUAAUGUGAAUUGCAGAAUUCAGUGAAUCAUCGAAUCUUUGAACGCACAUUGCGCCCGCCAGUAUUCUGGCGGGCAUGCCUGUUCGAGCGUCAUUUCAACCAUCAAGCCCCAGGCUUGUGUUGGGGACCUGCGGCUGCCGCAGGCCCUGAAAACCAGUGGCGGGCUCGCUAGUCACACCGAGCGUAGUAGCAUACACAUCGCUCAGGGCGUGCUGCGGGUUCCGGCCGUUAAACCCCUUUUUUACCCAAGGUUGACCUCGGAUCAGGUAGGAAGACCCGCUGAACUUAAGCAUAUCAAUAAGCGGAGGA